AGAGUUUGAUCCUGGCUCAGGAUGAACGCUAGCUACAGGCUUAACACAUGCAAGUCGAGGGGCAGCAUGGUCUUAGCUUGCUAAGGCCGAUGGCGACCGGCGCACGGGUGAGUAACACGUAUCCAACCUGCCGUCUACUCUUGGACAGCCUUCUGAAAGGAAGAUUAAUACAAGAUGGCAUCAUGAGUCCGCAUGUUCACAUGAUUAAAGGUAUUCCGGUAGACGAUGGGGAUGCGUUCCAUUAGAUAGUAGGCGGGGUAACGGCCCACCUAGUCUUCGAUGGAUAGGGGUUCUGAGAGGAAGGUCCCCCACAUUGGAACUGAGACACGGUCCAAACUCCUACGGGAGGCAGCAGUGAGGAAUAUUGGUCAAUGGGCGAGAGCCUGAACCAGCCAAGUAGCGUGAAGGAUGACUGCCCUAUGGGUUGUAAACUUCUUUUAUAAAGGAAUAAAGUCGGGUAUGGAUACCCGUUUGCAUGUACUUUAUGAAUAAGGAUCGGCUAACUCCGUGCCAGCAGCCGCGGUAAUACGGAGGAUCCGAGCGUUAUCCGGAUUUAUUGGGUUUAAAGGGAGCGUAGAUGGAUGUUUAAGUCAGUUGUGAAAGUUUGCGGCUCAACCGUAAAAUUGCAGUUGAUACUGGAUAUCUUGAGUGCAGUUGAGGCAGGCGGAAUUCGUGGUGUAGCGGUGAAAUGCUUAGAUAUCACGAAGAACUCCGAUUGCGAAGGCAGCUUGCUGGACUGUAACUGACGCUGAUGCUCGAAAGUGUGGGUAUCAAACAGGAUUAGAUACCCUGGUAGUCCACACGGUAAACGAUGAAUACUCGCUGUUUGCGAUAUACGGCAAGCGGCCAAGCGAAAGCGUUAAGUAUUCCACCUGGGGAGUACGCCGGCAACGGUGAAACUCAAAGGAAUUGACGGGGGCCCGCACAAGCGGAGGAACAUGUGGUUUAAUUCGAUGAUACGCGAGGAACCUUACCCGGGCUUAAAUUGCAGAUGAAUUACGGUGAAAGCCGUAAGCCGCAAGGCAUCUGUGAAGGUGCUGCAUGGUUGUCGUCAGCUCGUGCCGUGAGGUGUCGGCUUAAGUGCCAUAACGAGCGCAACCCUUGUUGUCAGUUACUAACAGGUUCCGCUGAGGACUCUGACAAGACUGCCAUCGUAAGAUGUGAGGAAGGUGGGGAUGACGUCAAAUCAGCACGGCCCUUACGUCCGGGGCUACACACGUGUUACAAUGGGGGGUACAGAAGGCAGCUACACGGCGACGUGAUGCUAAUCCCGAAAGCCUCUCUCAGUUCGGAUUGGAGUCUGCAACCCGACUCCAUGAAGCUGGAUUCGCUAGUAAUCGCGCAUCAGCCACGGCGCGGUGAAUACGUUCCCGGGCCUUGUACACACCGCCCGUCAAGCCAUGAAAGCCGGGGGUACCUGAAGUGCGUAACCGCAAGGAGCGCCCUAGGGUAAAACUGGUGAUUGGGGCUAAGUCGUAACAAGGUAGCCGUACCGGAAGGUGCGGCUG
rnacentral:rRNA from 1 species